rnacentral:rRNA from 1 species
GACGAACGCUGGCGGCGUGCUUAACACAUGCAAGUCGAGCGGUAAGGCCCUUCGGGGUACACGAGCGGCGAACGGGUGAGUAACACGUGGGUGACCUGCCCUCCACUUCGGGAUAAGCCUGGGAAACCGGGUCUAAUACCGGAUAUGACUUCCUCACGCAUGUGGGGUGGUUGAAAGUUGUGUCGGUGGGGGAUGGGCCCGCGGUCUAUCAGCUUGUUGGUGGGGUGAUGGCCUACCAAGGCGACGACGGAUAGCCGGCCUGAGAGGGUGAUCGGCCACACUGGGACUGAGACACGGCCCAGACUCCUACGGGAGGCAGCAGUGGGGAAGUCUUGCGCAAUGGGCGGAAGCCUGACGCAGCAACGCCGCGUGGGGAUGACGGCCUC